CCUACGGGUGGCAGCAGUGAGGAAUAUUGGUCAAUGGACGAGAGUCUGAACCAACCAAGUAGCGUGAAGGAUGACUGCCCUAUGGGUUGUAAACUUCUUUUAUAUGGGAAUAAAACGUUCCACGUGUGGGAUUUUGUAUGUACCAUAUGAAUAAGGAUCGGCUAACUCCGUGCCAGCAGCCGCGGUAAUACGGAGGAUCCGAGCGUUAUCCGGAUUUAUUGGGUUUAAAGGGAGCGUAGGUGGAUUGUUAAGUCAGUUGUGAAAGUUUGCGGCUCAACCGUAAAAUUGCAGUUGAAACUGGCAGUCUUGAGUACAGUAGAGGUGGGCGGAAUUCGUGGUGUAGCGGUGAAAUGCUUAGAUAUCACGAAGAACUCCGAUUGCGAAGGCAGUUCACUGGACUGCAACUGACACUGAGGCUCGAAAGUGUGGGUAUCAAACAGGAUUAGAUACCCCAGUAGUC
rnacentral:rRNA from 1 species